UGGGGCAUCCACCACCUCUCUGGGCAACCUGUGCCAGCGCCUCGCCACCCUUAUUGUAAAAAACACCUUUAUGGUCAAUCUGAAUCUUCCCUGUAUGGAUUCACAAAUGUUCACAGAUGCAGGAUGAACAAAUAUCAGAAUUACUGAGGUCAGAAGGGAACUCUGCAGGAGAAUGCUCCAAAUUCAGCUCAGAGCAAGAGCCUGUUGCUUUUGGUGUUCAGUUCAGUUUGGAAGGUCUCCAAAGCCUGUGCUGGUGAUCAGCCACCCUCCCUGUAUAAACGUAUAUCUUUUAAUUAUUAUUGUUUCUGCUAUCUCAGUCUGUGUUCAGUGUUCAGUUCCGUUGCAUCUCCUCCUGUCACUGGUCACCACUGGGAAGUCUGGCUGUGUCUUCACUCUGUCUCAUCACGGUGAUGCUUACACGCAGUGUUGAGGUCCCCAGGACCUCAGGGAGUCUCUCUCAGAGCUGAGCUGUCCCAGAUCUCAGACUGACCUCACGCGGCAGUGUUUCCGAACACUGUAGGUAGAUGACAUCAGUGAAUUAUUUAUUAAAAGAAUAUGUAGGAGAGGAAAAGGAAAAUAAGUAUUUCUUGUAUUCAUCAGUCCAAAUCUUAAAAAUAUAAAUAAAUAAAUAAAAACCAGUUCACCUCUAAUAUAACCAACAGCAAUUGAUUUAUGGCACUCCUAAUACAGGGCAAGAGCACCAACAGCCUCUUGGAGUGCACCCUCAGCUUUCAUUAACUUUCUUCUGUGGUAGCCUGGACAGUAUUGUGCAGUUUUUGGUCUGUAUUAAGUUAUAACAUGUCAUCAUUUUAUUAUCAAAGGGAAUGACUCAGCCUUGCCACCAUUCGUAGGAUUUGAUUUCCCAGGCAACGAUGCAGUUUAUUACAGUGCUAAAAUUAAUUAUAUCUGCCCUCUUAAUAUAUGCUUGGGGCUCAAUAUCUGGACGGCCAUUUUCAAAACAAAGGGAUUUAUGUCUUGCAUCAGGUAUCAUAAAAAAACAGCUGUAACAAAUAAAGCACAGCUCUGUUAUGAGUCUAAGUAGUUCCUUCUGUUAGAAGCUUUUGAAUGCUUGAUUUAUGUGAAAAAUGACCUAAUAUGCUCGCAUUUAAGAGAAUUCUAGCAUGGCAAUUUAUUAUUUGUGGGCUGUAUUAACAAUCAAAUUUCAGAUUCAUAAGCAUUUGGAAGAGAAAGUUGGGAAUGGAAAUGCAGCGAUGUGCUCUGUAGGCUGGUGUGCAGAAUGCAGGCUGUGCUGGAGAUGGCACAGCGCUGAGUGAAGGGCUCCCACCAGGUGAGGCCAAGGUCCCACACGUUAUUGGCUUAGUCUGGCAGCUCCCUGCUGCCUGUCCUUACCCUCACUCACGGGACUUCUUUUCUCCUCCUUUCUGCCAGGCGUGUCCCUUAUUGGAUGCUUCCAAAAACAAGUGAAAUUCCCUAGUUGAGGAGAAAGCUAUCCGGCUGGGAGCUGGUUUUAUGUCACUGUAUUGCAUUUGGCAUGCUCUGAGCAGAUCCUGUGGCUGUAGACCUGGAGCAAGACAAAUCCCCUCCCUGGCUGUUUCCUGGAUUAACAAAGUCCCGUCCUCAAACAAGACACAAAGAGGUCUGAGGAGAUGAGCAUCUACAUGGCAUUGACACGGUCCUGCUCAUGUGUUCAUGGGAAUGUUUCAGUGAAUAAGUAUUAACAGAGAGUUCCAGGCGAUCUGAGUGUCUGAGCAGGUCCCUGGGUAUGUUGCUCUUCAGCUCGCCGUACAUCUCUUUGAGCUUCCAGCCUGUGGCGUGCACAGUUCCUACUGACAACAACAGAACAAUAAAGAUGAAUCCCACGCACCAGAACUGACAUUCCAUUCUCUUUCCUGCCCCAGGAUCAGGUCUUAGCACUGAGAAACUCCUGGGGUCUGCAGCAUGUCACAGCAAUUCUAUACUGACAGCGUAUCUGUUGGGACACACAUCCUCUGUUGUCAGAACACAGCCACAGCAGCAGCCAUGUUUUAUUCAACUCUGUUCUGGGGCUCCCACAAGUGUGCAGGAAGUUUCUGAGAGCAGUGCCAUAUCCUUCAUAGCUGAGGGUGAUGUCGUGUGAUCCGUUACAUGUGUCCUGCUUCCAGAAAUAUCACAAUGAAGAGUUGAGUGAAACUUUUCUCCAGAUUAAGUAGUUCCAUGUGGCAAGCCCUGCUGAGAGUAAAGAAAAGCUUCAGCACCCAGAGAUCCGUCUGCAUCUCAGAAAUGCCUUUUGUGGCUCAGUGUGUAGGCCAGGAAACAACUCUGUCACCUUUUUUUUUGCUGCUUAAUACCAGAAUGUUCUGCUGCUAUAAACUGUCUGCAACAUUUUGAAUAGUACAGCGUAAAACUGAAUUCCUCUCUGAAUGCUGCAUUGCACAUAUUGCACUAUCCACUUGAUUUUUUUGUUUGUAUGUUUCGAGAAAGGAAAUAUCCAUCAUGGGGAAUUUAAAAAAUGUGGAGUUUGAGCCCAGGAUGAAUUCUGACGGCUUGGUUACCAUCAGCCCCUCAGAGCUGCAGCUUAGUGGAAACACUGACAUAAUCUCUACGAUAGCGGUGUGAACAGUGCCAGUGGAACAGAGAGUCUCGGGGGCGUAGCGUGAGGCAGAAUCACAGUGGUUCCCCACAUCACCACUUCUUUGAAAAUAAACCUGAUGGAAAAUUUGUGCACACCUGUUCCUUUG